rnacentral:rRNA from 1 species
UACGUAGGGUGCAAGCGUUGUCCGGAAUUAUUGGGCGUAAAGAGCUCGUAGGCGGUCUGUCGCGUCUGCUGUGAAAACUCAGGGCUUAACCCUGGGCUUGCAGUGGGUACGGGCAGACUAGAGUGCGGUAGGGGUGACUGGAAUUCCUGGUGUAGCGGUGGAAUGCGCAGAUAUCAGGAGGAACACCGAUGGCGAAGGCAGGUCACUGGGCCGCAACUGACGCUGAGGAGCGAAAGCAUGGGGAGCGAACAGG